rnacentral:tRNA from 2 species
GAGUGCCUAGUUCAACUGGCAGAACACCGGUCUCCAAAACCGGCGGUUGAAGGUUCGACUCCUUCGGUGCUCGCCA